GAACGCUGGCGGCGUGCCUAACACAUGCAAGUCGAACGGAGAUAAACGCUGAUGAUUUAGCUUGCUAGAGAAUCUUGUUUAUCUUAGUGGCGGACGGGUGAGUAACGCGUGAGCAACCUGCCUUUCAGAGGGGGAUAACGUCUUGAAAAGGACGCUAAUACCGCAUGACAUUGCGAGAUCACAUGGUUUUGCAAUCAAAGGAGCAAUCCGCUGAAAGAUGGGCUCGCGUCCGAUUAGGUAGUUGGUGAGAUAACAGCCCACCAAGCCGACGAUCGGUAGCCGGACUGAGAGGUUGAACGGCCACAUUGGGACUGAGACACGGCCCAGACUCCUACGGGAGGCAGCAGUGAGGGAUAUUGGUCAAUGGGGGAAACCCUGAACCAGCAACGCCGCGUGAGGGAUGACGGUCUUCGGAUUGUAAACCUCUGUCCUCUGUGAAGAUAAUGACGGUAGCAGAGGAGGAAGCUCCGGCUAACUACGUGCC
rnacentral:rRNA from 1 species